CAGGGCCCUUGAAGAACCCAGCACAUAAAAAAGGCAGAAAUAUCAAACACAGGGAAAGGUGCAGAACCAUAACACUCUACCACACCAGGAAGAAAAGGAAGACAUUCAAAGCCAAAGCAUGGAAAUGGACGUACAGCAGGAAACAAAAACCAGACCAUUGUCACCAGCUUUAUAAGUGCCAAGUGCCGAGGGAGAGGUGGCUUCAGAGAUCCUUCAUCCCCUAUUUUUCUUGACUAGAAACACACUGAAAAGGGCUGGAUAAACAUUACACAAGAAGAAAUCACAAGUAUCAUCAUCAGGAAGAAGCUGAAGGAACAAAAAGGAAAACAGUCUGGAAUAUUCCUCAGUGAUGGACACAGGGAGGUUUCAGAAGGAAAUGUGUGCACCAUGAGCUUCUCAAAACCUACUAAACCAGAGUGAGGAGUCUUCAU